ensembl:lncRNA
GCUUAAGCAAGUGCACCUUUUAAUGCAGGCUAAUGAAGUUCCUGCCAGGGGCUUUUGCAGGUGCAACCUCAGUGGUCCGGGAAGAAAUGUGUUGUGCAAAAAGGCUGUACACACUGAGAUUGUGUCCAAAAAUUCCAUACCGUGACAAAUUAAAUGAAGUCGUCUGUUGAAGUACGCUAGACAAGAGAUUGUCCAACAGCAAAGUGUAACUCCUUGCAGAAAAUUCAACGCUUUUACAAUUUCGUGUUCAUGAGUCUGUGGCCAAACAGUCAACUACAACAGGCAAGUAUGUCAAGUUACAAAAAGUCAUGGGUGACAUCUUAUGCUAGUUAAACUGUCAUGCUAGUGCCUACCAGCUUCCUCUUUGGAACUUAAUGGAUCCAUUUAAGGGCUGAAUUCUCAUACUAUGCAGUAAGAUUAAUAACUGGUUAAGAAAAUGUACAUGUUUGAAGACAUUCUGUACAGACUAUAUUUGUUGAUUGAUAGGUUAAACCACUCCAGGCAUCAUAAAAAUCAAAUACACCGAAUCCAUUCUAUAGGAGCCUGUGGUACAAUAAAUGGACUAGGAGGAAUGGGCUACAGGUGAAGAGUAUUGAGGCCCAUAAAAUCCAGUUGAAGCUAGAACAUUUAGAAUGGGCUGCGUCUCAAUCCACUGCAGCCGCCUGUCGCCCUUAAGCAUCUGCGCUGGACAGGGGCCGAGCUACAGUGGUGUUGGUCAGACACCUCAAAAUGCAGUCUCAAAAACAUUUAGCGUCAGAACGGUUUGUCCUACAAACAUUAUGGAAAAUUGACUCCCGAACAUAGUUAAUUUCCCUCUUUGACCCCACAGUUGUAAGACACAUCUGAAGGUAACCCAUACAAACAGAAGUAUCGAUGUAGAUGUGCCAACAGGGGUUGAAGCAUCCAAAACAUUUGAGGCAUCACCUAGAUACUGGACAGACACUUCUAAACUGAUUUGACUCGUUGCCAUUUGUGGUGUGGGCUAUAGUAUAAGGCCAAAUAUAAGUUUGAAACCAAAAUGUUCACACAAUCCUAAUAGCUAAAUGAGCCAUGGUCUGACCAUCUAAAAACAAUUUCCUAUGUUAAUUUACUCACCAACAACUUACACUGAGGUUGAAGACAGUCUCACUGUAUACAAUGCAUGCCUACAUCUAAAGUAUGAACAUAUGAUGAAUGUCUGACAACUCACCCCUUCACAAAUGCUCUCAUGUAGACCCAAGCUUUUAUUUUGAACAACCAGUAGCAAAGGUAAAAGAUGAACAACCAAAGAAUUAACUGAACAGUCAUUUUUACAAGACUGCACACCACCUGUUCUCAAUUCGCAAGCAAUGGACACGAGAAUCAUUAUUUCAAAGAGACAAGGCAUUUUUGAAAGUAAAAUUGUUGAUGUUUUCCAUAACUCUAGAGUAGCAAGAGCACCAGCAACGUCCUGGUCGAAACAAAAGCAGAAAGAAAUGCAGUGUCAGCAACACAGAAUGUUAAGUAACCAAUGUCAAAAACAAUACUCACCAUUAGAGCUUCUAGAGGAUGAAUCCAUUACAUUUUCCUGUUGAUAGAUAUAUGGUUAGUACAAAGGACUUCAAAUUCAGAGAGCAAAGUUCAGAGCAGGUUAAAGUGAAGCAUUACCUUGCAGAAUCCUUCACUAGUGGUGGAUAUAUGCUUGGUGCACCAAUGCUAACAUAACCGUCCUUGGGAGCAUUUCCACUGUCAACAGAAAUAGCCUCCCUAGGAGUGUAGCUGAUUUGGGAAGAGACAGUUCUGCCAUUCUCGUAGUGCGAUUUGGAACUGUAGGAAUAGCUUGGGAUGACACCCGACUGUUCAACGAUGCUGGCCUGAGCGCUACCAGAGGCACCAUCUUCAGUGCUUUGGUAGUGCUUCUGCUGAGAAUUUGGGGCCAGUUGCUUCUGGGUCAUUUGAGCUACAUGCCAUAAUUGCUGUGGCAUGGCGGUCAGUUGCUGCUGUGGCAUGGCAGUGUGUAGCUUCGGCUGCUGGGACAUUUGAGCUGGAUACCACACUUGCUGGGAUACGGCGGGCGGCUGCUCCUGCGGUAGAGGGGUGGAUGCCGGUUGCUUCUUCGGAGAUUGAGCUGGAUGCCACACUUGCUGAUGCUUCUGCGGCAUGGCGGUCAGUGCAGCGACUUGUUGCUUCUGGACCAUUUUAGCUGGAUACCACACGUCGUGAGGCUGCUGGGGUAUAGGGGCCGGUUGCUUCUGUGCCAGAUGCCACACUUGCUGAAGCAUGGCAGCUGGUUGCUUUUGCUGCUGUGGCAUUUGAGCUGGAUGCCACACUUGCGGGGGCAGGGUGGCCUGUUCCUUCUGCGGUUGAGGCAUUGGGGCUGGUUGCUUCUGCAGCAUGGUGGCCAGUUGUUUCUGCUGCUGGGACAUUUGAGCUGGAUACCAUGCUUGCUGGAGUAAAGCUGUUGGUUGUUUCUGCUGGAUAGGCAUUGGGGCCAGUUGCGUCUGCAGCAUUUGAGCUGGAUGCCACUCUUGCUGGGGCAUGGCGGUCGGUUGCUUCUGCGGCAGAGGCAUGGAGGCCAGAUGCUUCUGGGGCAUUUGACCUGGAUAUCUCACUUGCUGGGGUAUGGUGGCCGGUUCCUGAUGCUGCUGGGGAAGGUGCACUGGAUGCAACUCUUGCUGCGUUAUGGUGGCCAGUUGCUUCUGCUCCUGGGGCAUUUGAGCUGGAUACCACACUUGCUGAGGCACGGUGGUCAGUUCCUUCUGCCGCCGAGCUGCAGCGGCUCGUUGCUUCUGGACCAUUUUAGCUGGAUACCACACGUCAUGAGGCUGCUGGGGAAUGGGGGCCAGUUGCCACACUUGCUGAAGCAUGGCAGCCGGUUGCUUAUGCAGCUGGGGCAUUUGAGCAGAAUGCCACAGUUGUGGUGGAAUGGCGGUCAGAUCCUUCUGCAGUUGACGCAUAGGGACUGGUUGCUCCUGGGGAAAUUGAGCUGGAUGCCACAUUUGCUGAGGCUGGGGCAUGGCGGUCAGGUCAAUCUGCUGCUGAGGUUCAGCGGCGGGUUGAUUCUGCUGCUGGGGCUUUUGAGCUGGAUACCACACUUGCUGGGGCAUGGCAGUCAGUUGCUUCUGCGGCUUUUGAGCUGGAUGCAACACUUGCUGAGGUUCAGUAGCUGGUUGCUUUUGCUGCUGGGGCAAUUGAGCUGGAUGCCACACUUGCUGGUGAAUGGUGGCCGGUUGCUUCUGCUGUAUUUGAGCUGGAUACCAUGUUUGCUGGGGCAUAGCUGUUGGUUGUUGCUGCGGUAUAUCCAUUGGAGCCUGUUGCUUCUGGGGCAUGGUGGUCAGUUCCGUCUGCUGCUGAGGCCCAGUAGCUGGUUGCUUUUGCUGCUGGGGAAUUUGAACUGGAUACCACAUUUUCUGAGGUGCCUGGGGCAUGGGGGCCAGUUGCUUUUGCAGGAUGGAGGCCAGAUGUUUCUGUUGCUCUUCGGUCAGCUGCGCUUGCAAUUGAGCUGUUGGAGAGAUGUAUUUUCCAUAGCCUUUAGACCGAAGUGAGCCUGCAUAGAGACAUACUGCAUCAGAACCUGGUGCAUGAUAGCCAUCACCUAGGUUAGAAACAAAGUAAAAUGCCAGCCUUGGAAGUAAUUGGAACCGCAACUGUUACUUGAAAUUAAUGUGUAGAAACUCACUUGAUGUAGAACAGGUUAUCCCGCCAAUUAGCAGGCAACAAAACCAAGAAACUCUAAAAA